AUGGAGAGGAGAAUGGGAGCUCUGCUGGGGUUUCUGUGUGUUCAAGUUUGCUGGGUGAGAGGGGUGCAGGUGGAGCAGAGUCCUUCAGCCCUGACUCUCCAGGAGGGAACCAGCCCUACUCUGAGGUGCAAUUUUUCUACCACUGUGACCAGUGUGCAGUGGUUCCAACAAAAUCCUGGGGGCGGCCUCAUCACUCUGUUUUACAUGGCUUUAGGGACAAAGCAGAAUGGAAGGUUAAAGUCAACAGUGAAUUUUAAGGAACGCUAUAGUACUUUACACAUCUCAGCUUCCUUGCUGGAAGACUCAGGCAACUAUCUCUGUGCAGUGGAGGCACAGUGUCCCCAGCUAACCUGAAGCCUGGACCCAAACUGCAGCUGGCACUGCAGCCCCACCUCUUCCAUGGAGGAGGAACAUUGCCUCUCAGUAGCAUUUGCAUGGCUU